GGUAUGAUGGCCGAGUGGUUAUGGCGCUGUGUUCAGGUUUUGAUCCUAUCCGCAGUCUUCGGGCGUGGGUUCGAAUCCCACUCAUAUCA
rfam:Naematelia encephala strain 68-887.2 BCR39scaffold_127, whole genome shotgun sequence.